rnacentral:lncRNA from 1 species
UUCCGUUUAUUUCGGAACCCCGAGUUGGAUUUAUGGUUACUUAGUCCCUUGGGUGGUUGUGAUCAGUUUAGAGACCGGAAUCCAAUAUAGUUGAUGUUCAGAUGUCUUGGAGGAUGGCACUGUGAUUUGCAUUCAUGCAUCUGCAUCAUUCCCAUUUUGCAUUUAUCCACAUCUAACUCAUGUUUAUCCAUAUGCAGGGUACAUUCUUGAUUGAGAUCCUGGUUGAGAGGCAUCCUUGUUCCAGAUAUGAGGACCGACUUGAAAGCUGAUGUUGUCUACCGUUUC